GCAUCUGUGCAUGCAGCAUAUCAAUAAGCGGAGGAAAAGAAACUAACAAGGAUUCCCCUAGUAACGGCGAGUGAAGCGGGAAGAGCUCAAAUUUGAAAUCUUAAAGGGUUUCCCUUUACGAAUUGUAGUUUAAAGAAGUGUUUUCUGUUGAGGUUUUGGUAAAAGUUCUUUGGAAUAGGACAUCAUAGAGGGUGAGAAUCCCGUAUUUGACCUUUACUUUCAACUUUGUGAUACACUUUCAAAGAGUCGGAUUGUUUGGGAAUGCAGUCCAAAAUGGGUGGUAAAUUUCAUCUAAAGCUAAAUAUUGGCGAGAGACCGAUAGCGAACAAGUACCGUGAGGGAAAGAUGAAAAGAACUUUGAAAAGAGAGUUAAACAGUACGUGAAAUUGUCAAAAGGGAAGCGUUUGACACCAGUGUUGUUUUUCUGAAAAUCAAUUAAAGAACUGUUUAUGCUAAGCUGUUUAGACUUUAUCAGCUAUCUGUUUAGUUUUGAGCUUUUCUUUAAUGCACUUUUCAGUUAACAAGUCAACAUCAAUUUCUUUUGCUGUAAAAAAGCUUGAGGAAGGUGGCUUGAGAUUCGUCUUAAGUGUUUAUAGCCUCUUGCCUAUGCAGUCGGAGAGAUUGAGGUCUGCAGCGUAGAUCCUUCGGGGCUAAAUGCAUUUGUGCUAAGUUAUAGCAUUUAUAGACAACUUGUUGACUAUGAUUUGUCUUGUAGCUUACUCGCUUAUGUUAUUUUACCUACGCUUAGGAUGUUGAGUCGUAGAGCACGCAG
rnacentral:rRNA from 1 species